GUUCGAAAAAGGCAAACCACCCGAAAGCGUGGGGCGCAAAGCCACUGGCCUAAGUCCAAGGUUGCAAGGAUAGGGUAGCAGGGCUGCCGGG
rnacentral:ncRNA from 1 species